rnacentral:rRNA from 1 species
UUUUCGGUUGGGGCWACCGCGGARUAUAACAAAACCUCCACGACGAACAGAGUUUUCCCUCUAAUCAAAGGGCUACCACCCCUAGAAUCAACACAUUGACCCAAAUUGACCCAAUUCCUUGAGCAACGAACCAAGUUACCCKGGGGAUAACAGCGCAAUCCACCUCAAGAGCUCUUAUCGACAAGUGGGUUUACGACCUCGAUGUUGGAUCAGGGUACCCCAGUGGUGCAGCCGCUACUAAAGUGUUCGUUUGUUCAACGAUUAAAACCCUACGUGAUCUGAGUUC